rnacentral:lncRNA from 1 species
GACCCAAGGGUUCUCAGCCUUAUUUCUGCCUCUCCCAUCUCUGAUUUACUUUCAUUUUCUGUAUCGAUUUCUCAAAAAAUACUUUCUUGAUUCUUUCAUCAUCCCUUUUCCCACCCUACCCCCGGUUCCUCUUUCCACAUUAUAAUCUAUGACUGCCUCUCUCACCUAACUGCCAGUAUUAGCUUUUCAGGACAGGAACUGGUUUUACACAUUUUGGUAUUCCAGCAUCUAGCAUAAUGCCUGACACUUAGCUGAAUAAAGGGAGUAAAUAAAACAGAUUUGUAAAGUCAGCAAAUGCUUUUUAAUUUGUGAAUCUUAUUUUAAUGAUGAUCUGAUUUUCUUUUUACAGGAACUAUAUAAAGUUCAGAAAACAUGUCUCGAAGAUAUGACUCCAGGACCACUAUAUUUUCUCCAGAAGGUAAAAUAGAAAUUGUUUAAUCUGCCUCAAGUUUAAAAAUAAAUGUGUUAGACUUUUAGAAAAAAAAAUUACAAACUUUUUUUGGUAGUUGCAAAGUUCAUCCUUUUUGUACUUUGAAGCAAUUAUCAUCACCAGGUUGAUUAUACCAUAGAAGAG